rnacentral:rRNA from 1 species
AGAGUUUGAUCCUGGCUCAGAUUGAACGCUGGCGGCAGGCUUAACACAUGCAAGUCGAGCGGAUUUUGGUAGCUUGCUACCAAAGUUAGCGGCGAACGGGUGAGUAAUGCCUAGGAAUCUGCCUAGUAGUGGGGGAUAACGUUUCGAAAGGGACGCUAAUACCGCAUACGUCCUACGGGAGAAAGCAGGGGACCUUCGGGCCUUGCGCUAUUAGAUGAGCCUAGGUCGGAUUAGCUAGUUGGUGGGGUAAAGGCCUACCAAGGCGACGAUCCGUAACUGGUCUGAGAGGAUGAUCAGUCACACUGGAACUGAGACACGGUCCAGACUCCUACGGGAGGCAGCAGUGGGGAAUAUUGGACAAUGGGGAAACCCUGAUCCAGCCAUGCCGCGUGUGUGAAGAAGGCCUUCGGGUUGUAAAGCACUUUAAGCGAGGAGGAAGGGUUUACGGUUAAUACCCGUGAACAUUGACGUUACUCGCAGAAUAAGCACCGGCUAACUCUGUGCCAGCAGCCGCGGUAAUACAGAGGGUGCAAGCGUUAAUCGGUAUUACUGGGCGUAAAGCGCGCGUAGGCGGUUACGUAAGUUGGAUGUGAAAUCCCCGGGCUCAACCUGGGAAUUGCAUUCAAAUCUGCGUGACUAGAGUGUGGGAGAGGAAGGUAGAAUUCCAGGUGUAGCGGUGAAAUGCGUAGAGAUCUGGAGGAAUACCGAUGGCGAAGGCAGCCUUCUGGCCUAACACUGACGCUGAGGUGCGAAAGCAUGGGGAGCAAACAGGAUUAGAUACCCUGGUAGUCCAUGCCGUAAACGAUGUCAACUAGCUGUUGGGGAACUUGAUUCCUUAGUGGCGCAGCUAACGCAUUAAGUUGACCGCCUGGGGAGUACGGCCGCAAGGUUAAAACUCAAAUGAAUUGACGGGGGCCCGCACAAGCGGUGGAGCAUGUGGUUUAAUUCGAUGCAACGCGAAGAACCUUACCUACUCUUGACAUCCAGAGAAUCCUGUAGAGAUACGGGAGUGCCUUCGGGAAUUCUGAGACAGGUGCUGCAUGGCUGUCGUCAGCUCGUGUCGUGAGAUGUUGGGUUAAGUCCCGCAACGAGCGCAACCCUUGUCCUUAGUUGCCAGCACGUAAUGGUGGGAACUCUAAGGAGACUGCCGGUGACAAACCGGAGGAAGGCGGGGACGACGUCAAGUCAUCAUGGCCCUUACGAGUAGGGCUACACACGUGCUACAAUGGUCGGUACAAAGGGUCGCUAGCCCGCGAGGGUACGCUAAUCUCAAAAAGCCGAUCGUAGUCCGGAUUGGAGUCUGCAACUCGACUCCAUGAAGUCGGAAUCGCUAGUAAUCGCAGAUCAGAAUGCUGCGGUGAAUACGUUCCCGGGCCUUGCACACACAGCCCGUCA